GAAGAGCUGCUAAGGGAGAGGGGUAUGUUCAGCCCGGGGCCGGGGGUGCUGACACGAGGCUGGGUCCAGGAUACAGCCGAGGGCCCCAAACCGCACCAGGCCUCGCAUCCACAGGAAAGCCCAGUGACGCUCCAAACGGGCUGCAGUCCACUCGCAGUUAGAUGGGGUCGGUUCAGGUUCCGUCAGCUCCACAAUGCCCUGGGGGACGUGAAGGACAUCCAGAACUAUGACGGUGCACGUUGAAAGUCACUGAGCUCUUCAUGCCUGAGAGUGUUCAUGGAAUUACCUCAUGUACGAUCAGUACCGCAUGGGCAGCAAUAAACACGCACAACAUGAACCUCAUUCGAAACUACUUUGGCAAGGUGCAGGCCAUGUCGGACGACCUGGCCAAGCAACUGUGGAUAGUGCUGCACCAAGUCAUGGGCAAGGUUGGAGGCAACAGUGAGCAGUGAUGCUGGUGCAGUGCUUCCCAAGACAUUACCACACCUUGACAGGUUC